CUGGCCUCAAACUCAAACUCCUGACCUCAAAUGAUCCGCCCGCCUCUGCCUCCGAACGUGCUGGGAUUACAGGCGUGAGCCACCGCGCCCCGACGGUUCUGUUUUUGUAAUCAGCGCACAGGUUCAUUUUUCUGGGUGUUGGGGGAGGAACCUGGUGGGAGGUGAUUGGAUCAUGGAGGUGGCGUUCACCAUGCUGUUCUUGUGAUAGCAGGAGCGCCACCUGGAGGUAGGAGGUGAAGUCUGCAGAGAGAAGCUGGAAAUGUACUGAUGGAUCCCCAAGGAUUCAGUAAUGUGACCAAGCAGAGGAGCUGCGUUUACAGGCAUCAGGGGAACUGCAGGAGUCUCUGUCAUUCAGGCUGGAACUUCUGACCUCAGUUGAUCCUCCCC